rnacentral:lncRNA from 1 species
AGAAUCCCUGUCUCAGCCUGAGCUCAGAGAGCACUUGCAGAACUGUUUCCUGUUGAUUGUGCUUUUUGGAAUCCGUUUUUAUACAUCUUCAACUGUGCACUGUCUUUAUCUUGCUCUGAAGAUGGAGAUUCCAGUUUAGCGAAAUAUUAAAACAGAUUUUGAAGAGAUUUUGAAACUGCUUAAAAACGCUUAAAGGCUGUAGACCAAAUGCUGUUUUGCUGUCUGAAGAGAUCGCAGCAAAGGGACAGUAUUGUUAAAGAGGAGCGAUUACAUGGUAAAAAGUCAUAAAACCUUCCAGGAUUCAGAUUCUCAGGGGUUCUGUAGGACAGCUUCCUCUGUUUCCUGUCAGCAUUAUGGAGAAAUGGUGAACCUGGAUUCUUGCCUUUGGGCCGGUCUACAGGCGGACUACCUCACAGAGAAUGCCUCUGACCUUAUGAUUGCGGGAACUGUAGCUGUGAUGACUUUUCUGUCAGCACCUACACAAUUCGCUUGA